GCUGGCGACCAUAGCAAGAGUGAACCACCUGAUCCCUUCCCGAACUCAGAAGUGAAACCUCUUAGCGCUG
rnacentral:rRNA from 2 species